UGUUACACUCCAGCUUGCUGGCACGGGUCAUUAUCAGCAAUGCGAAGUAAAGUGCACAGAAGCAGCAUGGGGCUAGAAUUGCUCCAUUCCUUGACACCAAGUGCCAUGACAACUACCAGAUCCACCAGGUCUCUGCACAGCCACUCUGCUCAUUACCUGGGGAUAAAUCUGUUGCAAGAGAAUUCCUUUCACUCAAGUACCCCCUGGCUGCAGUUUCCAUCAGAAAAUCUAUUUACUGGAAUUGAAUACGAAGACUACCAGGUAUGCACAGCUGCACUAUAGGAAUGUAUGUUAUCUGGUCAUUUCUUGCACGAUAUUCCAUUUUUAAAGAGUUUUAAAGUGUUUGAAAGAGGAGCAUAAGUGUACAAGAUUCGGAGGAAAAACACAUAAAAAAUGAAAGCAUCCAAUCAUCCCUGUUGAAGAUAC
ensembl:lncRNA